CUGCGGCUAAUUGAACACUCCUUUCCUCAUGAGGGCCUUGUGAGCAAUGGCCACAAAUAGCAGCCUCCUUGGUUGCGUAUGCAGCCUGUUGCUUGUAUGGAUUGCUCUAAGGGAUCCUGGAGACAGUU
ensembl:snoRNA SNORA70 Small nucleolar RNA SNORA70